rnacentral:miRNA from 1 species
UCACCGGGUAAACAUUCAUCCGC